GGACUCCUUCUGUCAUGUCUGUGUAGUCUGCUUCCUUCAAUUUUGAACUUGAAGAAUCUGGCAGAAUUUGGACUGGAUAGUGGAUAAAGAUAAUUAAAUUCCAGAAUAUCUAGUGAUCUGGAACAGUACUUAUAAGCUGCAUAUUUAGGACCUACAAUCUACAGUGGAAUUUUCUUUGCACUUGCAGAUAAUCGGUAACUGCAACCAUUGAUCCCCUCCGAAAGAUCCCGGAGUCAGCUUCUGUGCGCGUACAGUCCGACGCUAGUAUAUUCGUGUACUAAGAAAAGAAGGCUAAACUACACCAAAGAGGAGCAGUGCAGCUGGUGGAAUUCGUAAAGAGACGAAAAGGGGACCUGUUCGGGAAGGCAGGGUAUUGUGGAGUGAAGGUUGAGCAGAGAAAGCAGAAUACCUGGCAGGAACUUGCCACCAAAUUGAGGAGCUGUGGGGUCCACAAAGGGACUGGAGAGAGCUUAAGAAGAAGUGGCAGGAGCUGAAGAGUCUGUGAGCUUAUCUCUGAGGAGGACCCCCAAAGUCUAUUGAUUUUAUUUCUGAAAAGGUGUUGGAAGCAGUAGCAACCGAAGUGAGGGAGGGGCUGGCUCCCAGAAUGAAGCUGGGUUGGGUGAAUGCACAAGCUCCCAGGAUUUGGAGGUUGCUGCCCUAGCCGAAGACACGAACCAGAACAUGGACAAUGAUGAAGAAGACUUGGACUUGGGAGAUGAUAUUGGGGAUAUUCAGGUUCUUGAGAACUUGGACACAGUGACACAACUUGUUACUUGUCCCCCCGAUGUUAUCCAUGCUGACCUGUUGAGAAUCAGCGGUCAGUUAGAUACAAUAAUAGAUCUUGUCAUGAGACAGCGGGGAGGCAAGGAACAAUAAUGGUCCACUGUAUUCAGGUUCUCUCUUUACUAUUUUUAAGUAUUUAAAGCUGCCUUUUUAGGGUCAGCCCAUGUCAUUUCAACUCAGCCUGUAUUCAAUUCAAUACUUAAGUCUUUUUGAAUAAUUUAAUUGAAAAAAAGGGUAAAUAAAAUAAUUUCGAAUGUAUUGGCAGGUAAUUUUUUUGUGUGUGUUUGCAGUCAUCCUGAGUUGUGAAGAAUUGGGUUGUAGUGCUUUUGGUGAACGUAUUAAGUGCACAAAGUUGGUGAUGUCACAUUGUUCAGCAUGUUUGGUUUAUAUAUUUUGUUACAAAAGUAAACCAAUGUUGACCUAAAUGAAAAAUAAGCAUAUUUCUUAGCAGUGUAAAAUACAUCAUAAAAUCUUUGUAGAAUCUAAGUUUUGAAUUGCAUACCAGCCCUGAUGACACUUUAUCCCUCAACUUUGCCCAAAGUCCACUAAAAAUCCUAUCGUAUUAGAACGAUAUAUAUUAUGCUCACAAUGAGAACCACUAAUGACCUGGUGAAACGAAAACAAGUUUCUUCAGAGAUUUAUUCAGGAUUAGAACUUGAAGAAGUGACAAUGAAUGAGCUUAAGACAGUGGAUAUUCAAAUUUGCAAUUUCUCCAACUAUCAAUCCCCAAGAAUCAACUAACAAUAGGCAUAAUAUACCAGGCAAUAUUAUGUUUGCUUCAGUUUACAAAGAAAAAGUUAACAAUAAAGAAUUGUGUUUUGAGCAUAGGGUGUAUAUAGUUUCAUUAAUGAACAAAAUUGCUAAUUGUCAUUUAAAUUUCAUUAAAUUUAUCAGCUAGAAGGAUGGUCAAAUACUUGAAAUUCUAGAUCUAUAAAUAUUAUAUGUGACCAGCCACCAAAAAUCAACAAGUCUCCCAGAAUAAAUUUUGAUGUUUUCAUUGAGAUUGAAAAGCAUAGCCUAAACUUUGAUAUGAUAUAUAACUUGUCAAAAUUGAUCAAGAAUAACCCUUACAAGUACUUGAUUGAAAGCAGAUGAAAUUAAGCGAGAGCUUUAAAAAAUAUGGAGAAAAUAAGGUUUGAAGUUUGUGGUUCACUCAAGCAUGAGAUGUGCACACUCUGCAAUUUAAAUGAAACUUCAAAGCAGUCUGCAAAAAAUUGUGUUAGAUAAAAUUUUGUAUCUUGUUUUCUAGCCAACUUCAAAGCUUCAGCCUUUGACAGUAUGAAGAAGAAGAUCUACCCUUUCUAAUUAACUUUUUUUUUCAUUUUGAAGACCAAAUGAUUAUUUUAUACUAUACUAUUCAAAGAGAACCUUCAAUGACGUUGAUCUUUGGGUGGCUUGUCACAUAUGGUCUAAAUAAGAAUGUUUAUGUAUCCACUAAGAUAAAUCUCCAAGGCCGUUAAAUAAUGACAACUUUAUAAAUGGUUCCAUUCAUAAUGCAACAUGAACAUUUCAGGUGAAUUGACAUGGACUUACUCUUUUCACAUAUAACAAAAAAGUAACUCUCCCCCUUUUCAAAGUACAUAAACAUUUAGAUGAAUUGAUUUCAUGCAAAUCGUUUUGCAGCAGUACCAUUUUGGCUAAUAUUUUGAAGAAAAAAAAAAUUGAUCAAUCAAGUCAUACAUGAGUGAGAACACAUUGUGGGAUAAUUUUUUUUUUCAAAGUAACAAUUUUCAGUUGAAUAAAGAGGAAGGGGAGCUACUUUUUUGUUAUUCAUAUCUCCAUCUUUUUCUGUCAUAACAGGUUUUGAAUAAAAGGUGCAUUUUGAAUAUUAAUUCCUGUAAAUAUGAAAUUUUGAAAAAGUAUUCACACACUUUAACAAAAGAGAGAAACUGUGCAAUUUAAAUUCUUAAAUUCCAUUGUAUUUAUUAAUGCUAAUGUAUCUAAGAAUAUAUGAAGAAGUUUAUACAACUAUAUACAGAUCAAUUAUUAUAGAUAUAUUCAAUAAUUUCAUUACUUAUGAUACAUUGAAUUCAAGUGCCUUUAAUUUAUCAAAUCUGUUGGCAAGUCAUAUUUAUAUGAUGUAUAUAGAAUAUAGUUAUAUACAAUUAUCUAAAAAAAUGACAUUUACUUGGUAAUUUUAUUUAUUUAAUGUACAUAUUCUUCUUUAUGUCUAUGAGAAUACAUUUGUUCAUUUGUGUUUAAAAUAGAAAUAGUUAUACCUUGAUGGAAUUAUUCAAUUGUCAAUAAAUAGUCUGACAUG